AGGGGUGUAGCUCAGCUGGUAGAGUACCGGUCUCCAAAACCGGGUGUCGUGGGUUCGAGUCCCUCCGCCCCUGCCA
rnacentral:tRNA from 1 species